rnacentral:rRNA from 1 species
UAGAUACCCUGGUAGUCCACGCUGUAAACGAUGAACACUAGGUGUCGGGAGGAAUCUCGGUGCCGGCGCAAACGCAAUAAGUGUUCCGCCUGGGGAGUACGUUCGCAAGAAUAAAACUCAAAGGAAUUGACGGGGACCCGCACAAGUAGCGGAGCAUGUGGUUUAAUUCGAAGCAACGCGAAGAACCUUACCUAAGCUUGACAUGGGGAUGAAAAAUAGUAUAAAGCUAUAAUAAUGCCUCGGCAUACAU